rnacentral:SRP_RNA from 1 species
UCAUGCUAGACGGGGAGGUAGCGGUGCCCUGUAACCUGCAAUCCGCUAUAGCAGGGUUGAAUUCCUAGUAUAGGCAUAUUUACUGUGAGGCCUGCCCUAAAAAAGUGGUGUUGACGAUUGGGUCCUGCGCAACGGGAACCUAUGAAUCCCGUCAGGUCCGGAAGGAAGCAGCGGUAAGUAGUAACUCUCGUGUGCCGCGGGGGUGCCUAGUCCGAGCUAACUAUUUAGGUAACGCUUAUGGUAGUAUGUCGAAGCUAGGUGCAUGA